UCUGCCCCUAGGGGCACUGCAGGUGUGACUACUGUGUCACGUGUGCAUCCCAAGGAGACAGAGGAGAGGCUAUGUCUAUGCUCAGCAGUCUGACCUGUGAACGUCUCAAUGAGUAGUAGCCUAAUGUU
ensembl:snoRNA LOC120094917 small nucleolar RNA SNORA17